GACGAACGCUGGCGGCGUGCUUAACACAUGCAAGUCGAACGGAAAGGCCCUGCUUUUGUGGGGUGCUCGAGUGGCGAACGGGUGAGUAACACGUGAGUAACCUGCCCUUGACUUUGGGAUAACUUCAGGAAACUGGGGCUAAUACCGGAUAGGAGCUCCUGCUGCAUGGUGGGGGUUGGAAGGUUUCGGCGGUUGGGGAUGGACUCGCGGCUUAUCAGCUUGUUGGUGGGGUAGUGGCUUACCAAGGCUUUGACGGGUAGCCGGCCUGAGAGGGUGACCGGCCACAUUGGGACUGAGAUACGGCCCAGACUCCUACGGGAGGCAGCAGUGGGGAAUAUUGCACAAUGGGCGGAAGCCUGAUGCAGCAACGCCGCGUGCGGGAUGACGGCCUUCGGGUUGUAAACCGCUUUCGCCUGUGACGAAGCGUGAGUGACGGUAAUGGGUAAAGAAGCACCGGCUAACUACGCG
rnacentral:rRNA from 1 species